rnacentral:lncRNA from 1 species
AUGCAACACCCCGCUCCGCCAAAUCCUCGGGACUACAGCGGCAUUUUAAACUAUUGUUUGUUGUUGUUGUUUUUUGGUCUCGCCUGAAAAUUGAAAAUAUUCAUCCCCGAGCCUGUAACUUUUUAAGUAUUAGGUCCGGUGUUAAGCUGACCGCACGUUUCAGAGGACGGGGUGCUUCUUGCAUGGCAGGCACCCCUUGGUGGUACCACCGGGCGAUCGAGGGCACUUCCCGAGUCCCGGGGGCACGGAGAGGGGCUGCCGCUGCCUCCCCGCACAGGGGCUCUCGGUAAGCAGCACCCCCCGGCCCGAGUGACACCGCGAUGGAGGCAGGAGUGCGCGGCACCGGCGCUGGGGAUGGCAGGAGGUAACCUACACAUGGCUCCCGGCGAAGCUCCGUGGGAGGAGGGCUCCCGGCAGGGAUGGGGACGGGGUCUCGCUGCGCACCCCCUCCUUGUCCCCGGGAGCCCGCCGCCCCCCAAACCCCCUCCCAGCUCCCAGGAGCGGGGCGGGGGGCGCGGCGCUGCCUGACGCCGGCUUGGUCGGGGGCGGGACCGCCGGGACCGCGCUGCUCCCUCCCGCCCGCCCCCGUCCCCAUCGCCGUCCCCGUCCCCGCCGCCGGGUCCCGGGCCCCAUCUCCGCCCCCGCGCUGUCCCCGCCGGGCCCGGCGCUGCGGGGGCCGCCCCGGCCGCGGCAUGGCCGGCGCGCUGGGCAGGGGGGCGGCGGGCUGGCGGCUGCGGAGCGCGGCGGGCGGCAGGAAGGAGAAGCCGCCGGGCGGCAAGCCCCAGCCGCCACCGCACGAAAAUAUGAAGAAGCCCUGGAGCCCUGACUUACCAGCUGAUAACCACUUGUAUAAUUCAGAUUUCGCAUCCAUCCCAGGCAGAGAAAGUGAGAAAGAAUUAGCACCUGAUGGCACUGAAGAAAAGAAGGAGAGAGAAAAGAAACAGACCAAUUUCACUUUGUGCAGUGUUUGUAACAUUCAGCUGAACUCUGCUGCUCAGGCACAAAUCCACUACAAUGGCAAAUCCCAUCAGAAGAGGUUAAAACAGCUCAGCAAUGGAAAUCUCAAAAGUGAUAAUGGACACAUGAAUCUUCUGCUAUGCACAGGUUUCAACAUAUGGCUUUCCUCAGUAAUUCUGCAGAUGCUCCUAAGGUUUAGAAUUUAUUAUAUCUUCAUCUCUGGAGUUGAUAGCUUUCUUCUUCAUUUUUUUAAUUUUUGUUUUUAAUUGAUUACAGAGAAUCCAGCAA